CUUUUAUAAAUUAUGUGUCUUCUUCUUGGCAAUUUUUAAUAGCUCUCUCAGGUUAUUAAUAUCAAACUCUGUUGACCUGGUUUAUAAAAGUUUUCCAAAUCUACUGUUCACUUAUUAACUGUUAAGAGGACAUUUUCCGUGGUAAAAGAUUAAUUUUUUACAUAUCCAGAUAUCUCCCUCUUGCAAGAUUUUUUUUUUUUUUUGGCUUAUUAAACAAGGUCUUCUUUCAAUCAAGAGUGCACAUUGGACAUUGCAUAUUUCCCUUAAUAAAGGGGAAAAAAAACCUCUGCUUCACAAGAAAAGUAAAAGAAGAUGAGUUUUACCAGACUGCUUUCUGUACACCUGAAUGAUGGACACUUCAUGCCUAUGCUGGGGUUUGGCACCUCUGCCCCUAGGAAGGUUGCCACGAGUAAUGUAGAAGAAGCCGUCCAGGUGGCAAUAGAUGUAGGCUACCGCCAUAUUGACUCAGCUUAUUUGUACCUGAAUGAAGAAGCCAUUGGGCAGGCCAUCAGGAAGAAGAUUGCCAAUGGCACUGUGAAAAGAAAAGAUAUAUUCUAUACCACAAAGCUGUGGGGCACCUUUUCCCGCCCAGAAUUGGUCCAAAGAGGCCUUGAACUGUCACUGCAGGAACUUCAGCUGAGCUACGUGAAUCUUUACCUUAUUCAUUACCCGGUAUCUCUGCAGCCUGGAAAGAAGUUUAUCCCAGUGGACUCACAGGGAAAGAUCAUUUUUGACACAGUGGAUCUCUGCAGCACAUGGGAGGCCAUGGAGAAGUGUAAGGAGGCAGGAUUGGCCAAGUCCAUCGGGGUGUCCAACUUCAACCGCAGGCAGCUGGAGAUGAUCCUCAACAAGCCAGGGCUCAAGUACAAGCCCGUCUGCAACCAGGUGGAAUGUCACCCUUACCUCAACCAGAGCAAACUCCUGGAGUACUGUAAGUCCAAGGACAUUGUCAUGACUGGAUAUGCUGCCUUGGGGUCUGACCCAGGCAAGGAAUGGGUGAAAACAGACAACCCAGUUCUCCUGGAGGAUCCAGUACUCAAUGCCAUUGCUGAAAAGCACAGGCGAACUCCAGCCCAGGUUGCCUUGCACUACCAGCUGCAGCGGGGGGUGGUGGUCCUGGCCAAGAGCUUCACUGAGAAGAGAAUCAAAGAGAACUUUCAGAUUUUUGACUUCCAGCUCACACCAGAGGACAUGAAAACCAUAGAUGGCCUGAACAAGAAUAUGAGCUAUUUUGAAAAUGUAAGUAGCUUGUUUUGUUGUCAACACUAGGGAGCAGGACAGUGGGGCGAAUUCAGCUGAUUUCAAUCCAUAGAGGGCAGCGUCUGUUGCUUAGGAAAGCUUUUGGAAAACAUUUUUUCUUCCAACUUCAGAUCAGAGAUAUUUUCUUCCAAGGCUCAGGGCUCUGCCCAGACAAGAGUGUAAGCAGAACUCAACAUAGACUGAAGCUCCCUGUUGAAGACAGGGCUCUCCUGGUUCCCCACUGCCUCUGUGUGUCCCUCAUCACUAGGCUUCCCUCCAAUCUAUAUCCUAAGAAUUCCAUGGUUUCUAUCUCUAACCCAGACCUUUUUCCUGGUCUCUAGUAUCCCACUGAUUUUCUAUUAAAUUAAAAUUCCCUGGAGAUAUUCCCUACAGAUAGUUCUACUUAUUCUUACAGUUUAAACUUAAUACACUUAAAAUUGAAGUCUUAGAAGUUCUCUCUCUAUACUCAUCAUGGUAAUACUACAAAGACCACUAUUAUGGCACAAACCUCACCCCCUAUGUCUAAAUAACCACCUCGUCCUGUUGAUUCUAUAUUUCAACAUUUCUCAUGCUUCCCUAAUAUUCAUCACAAAGCCCACCCUCUCUCAUUCAGGUUUUGAACCUGAAUUGGCUCUCUUGCAGGGCUGGCCACAGGGCUGGAUCUUCAGCCGUGGUUUCCAAACAAUGUUCAGAACUUUGCUCAGGUCUGGGGGUUCUCAGUAGUAAAGAGUAAGCAGGUUCCAAAAAUUAAGAAGAAAAAAGGGAAGAGGCUGAGUAUCAAGCAAAUGGAGGUGAUAAUGAAAAUCCAGUGGCAGGAAAAAAUUUUUUUCUAAAGAUAGGCUUUUAAUGACCCUUCAAACUUUUAGAUUCUAUGAUUCUCAGAAGACUGUAGAGACAAAUCCGGAAGUUAUUUUUUUCUCUUUGGUGGCAUUUAGUACAUAUAUGUAUGUAAACAUCUCACAACACAGGAAGACCAACCAAUCCAGUAGCUCUUGGGCUGACUCCCAUCCUCUGCUGUGCACUUUUCUCAUCACCUGGAUUAACAAUUUCUUGAUGAAUAUUAAGAAAAUUAUCUGUGGUUGUUCCAGAGCUUAUUGAUUUUGAUUGAUGAAUAGAGAACAUUUCAAGGAUGAGAAGUUUCUAGUAUUCCCCAUUGAUUAGCCUGCUCAGUCACAAGUUGGCCUAAGACCCUGGAUCAGAAAAUAAAAGUAUCUAAGCCCAGUUUUCUCUUGAUUCCCACCCCCACAACUGCCAAAAUAAAGAUGUAUUUGAAACAAUCUAA